CCACCUUUUUUUUAAUUAAGAAUCGUAUGAGGUGGAAACUUGAGAAGAGAAACAAUCGAAACUGCUAAGUGAUUUUUUUUAUUGGGAAAUUUUCGCUAGGCUUUCAGUUCAUCUGAUGCGAAAAUCAGAUUUUGACUUUGAAGAUAACGAAGGAUUUUUCAAUUAGGUAUUCUAUCUAAUGACAGUUUAUAGUUGGUGAUCUAUUUGAGUUCUUGUUCCUUUUCUUCUCUUUUAUCUGUGUUUAUUUUUUCAUCCAUUGACUUUAAAAAAAUGUGUGUAUUUGGAUGACAGGGAAGGCCUACUGCUGUGGUACUCAUCAGCGAUCUAUUUCUCGACAAAGAAAACUCAUAAACCCCAAAAAUACAAAAACCCCAAACCCAAAAAAAGAGAGCUUAAAAUCCACCAUGGAAAUGCUUAACUGCUAAAGCAAAAGGUCCUCUCAUAAAAUCUCCUCUUUUAUUUUGUUCUUUCGAAUGCUCCUUUUAAACGUGGCGUUGCUUUAAUUUAUGGGAUCAUUUUCGAUUCGUUCAACUUGCUUUUAGUUGAACCAGUAUAGGAUGAUGGCGUAUUAUUAUUCCAAGCUUUUUUACUCGUUCCUAGCUUCAGCUUUGAUAAUAUUUUCUCUUCAAAUUUAUGGGUUUUUUUUAAUGGUCUGUGGAUCAAGAUCCGGUAAUAGUUGAUAGUAUUUUAGUUUUUUUCCUCCUUUUUGAUUGAAGAAAUUUGGGAACUUAAGCUUAUGGUUUACAUUUUUCUUAUUUUCUAUUUUCACUUCAAUCUAAAAACUGAAACUUUAUUUUUAAAAACCAUUAUUUUUUUUUAUCUUUUCAUAGUUUCAUUUUUGUUUUUAAGCGUUUAGCUAAGUAACUUCUAUAUGAGAAAUGGUUGAUUCCUUAACUUAUUUUUUUGGGCAAAGGAUUUGAGUUCCUUGAUCUUGGAAUAAUAAUUAGCAUAUAAUAUCAGCUCCAUCUCUUUCAAUGGCAAUAAAACUUCAUUUGUUUUUCUUUAUAUGUCUAUGUUUCUAGUUUUGCUGGAUUUGCCAUGUCAAACAGUUUUUCUUUUUCUUUUUGUGUGUGUGUAUGUAUAUGUAUUCUCUUUAGCUUUGAAGGAUGGACCUAAUAAUUGUAUAAAGGGACACUCUAAACUCGAUUACUACUGUUUUUUUUAGAUUAGAGUGAAUUAGAUAUUAAAGACGGGUUUGCUAACGAGUCCCCUUAAUAAACUCUUUAAACUUAGUUAAUAUUCUAUUUAUGGUCAUAACAUUGUAUUGAAUGUAGUAGUUGAUAACUUAUCAUUUCCAAUGCAUUGUAUGAAUGUCAGUAGGGCACUUGUUAGCACAAUCUGUUAAAGAUUUCAAUAAGACCUUUGUUUAUUUCUUAAGUGUGUUAGUUCUUACUUCUAUACUAGUGUUUUUCCUUUUCUUUUUCCAAUCAAAAAAACAUGUAAUAAUCUCAAACCAACAUUGAAGUUUCCCAAAUGACCUAGAUUGACCCAACAUGCAUAUAUACUGCCAAGUCAGUUGGCAGAUCAGGUAUAGUAUUACCCUUCUAUUCAAAAAUAAAAAUAACAAAAGAGCAGAACACCUUUCUUAAAAGUUAAUUAACUUUGCUUUCAAGCUCUUCGAGUGCAGCAUUUAGCUCUGACGAUAAGCCAAUUAAUUCUGGAGCAAAACUGACAAGCAAAACUAUUGACUUUAAGCUAUGGGGUAAGACUAAGAAAAACCAAGCAAUCAACCCUCAAACCCAUCCAAAAAAGAAGAGUGAAUAUCUUAUGCAUGUAAUAACACUUGUUAGUUUUAUAUACAUUUUGAUAUAUAUAUACACAUAUAUGUAUGUGAGAUUGUACUAUGUCCUUUUAAGGAUUAUCUAGAUGUAUUGGAAAUGAGCAAAAAAUUGGAUUAGGUUCAUUGUUUGAGUGCAGCAUUCUUAUCCCUGGAAUUAUUUUACUGUCAGCUACAAUUUUUGUUGGAAGAGUUUUUCUAAAGUGAAAGUGUUUGUUUGGCCCUGUUGUAGUCUUCAUUUUGCCUUUGGUUUUUUGUUAAGUUUAUUUUUAUUUGGAUAUUUUUAGUUGGAACCAUUAUGUGUUAAAGGUGUAUUGGUAUACUAUUAUUUCAACAAGCGGCAUGUGGUUUAAUAAUAUUCUAUUUUCUUUGGCAGAAUUGACUUCAAGAUAAGGACCAUAGAGCUUGAUAGAAAAAGGAUAUAGUUGCAAAUACUACUGGUCAAGUGAGGUUUCAUACAAUUACAACUG
rnacentral:lncRNA from 1 species